AGUGAACGCUGGCGGUAGGCCUAACACAUGCAAGUCGAACGGCAGCACAGAGGAGCUUGCUCCUUGGGUGGCGAGUGGCGGACGGGUGAGGAAUACAUCGGAAUCUACUCUGUCGUGGGGGAUAACGUAGGGAAACUUACGCUAAUACCGCAUACGACCUACGGGUGAAAGCAGGGGAUCUUCGGACCUUGCGCGAUUGAAUGAGCCGAUGUCGGAUUAGCUAGUUGGCGGGGUAAAGGCCCACCAAGGCGACGAUCCGUAGCUGGUCUGAGAGGAUGAUCAGCCACACUGGAAAUGAGCCACGGUCCAGACUCCUACGGGAGGCAGCAGUGGGGAAUAUUGGACAAUGGGCGCAAGCCUGAUCCAGCCAUACCGCGUGGGUGAAGAAGGCCUUCGGGUUGUAAAGCCCUUUUGUUGGGAAAGAAAUCCAUCUGGUUAAUACCCGGGUGGGAUGACGGUACCCAAAGAAUGAGCACCGGCUAACUUCGUGCCAGCCGCCGCGGUAA
rnacentral:rRNA from 1 species